rnacentral:lncRNA from 1 species
CAUCUUAGCGGCGCGGCGGCCGCCGGUGCGGCGCGGUGCGGUGCGGGGCAGCGUUGUUCCGCUGCCGCCCCCCCGGCGCUUUCGGAGGGGGCAGCACAGCGGUAGUAAAGCUCCGCGGUCUUUUGUCUCCUGCCGCAGGUCUCUGGGAGCGCUGAGGAAACGGUGCAGAGACAAGUUUUUUCGUUCGUCUCUAGUUUAGUGUUUUAAAGUCGGACGUAGUAGUGCGUGUACGGCUGCGUGACCGUAUAACGGUCCGCAAAAACGCUUUAUUUUUGAUUCCGGAUUGCUUGUUGUAGCUAAGCCCUUUUGCCCUGUUCAUCGGAUUUGGACUUUUCUGCCCCUGCCUACCUCACUGGAGUACCUGAUGGAUGGCUUAGUGUCGCACACCGACCCCCUCCUGAGGGGCCUCCUGAGCGUCCCCUCAGGGCUUGAUCCUACCUGAGUUCUUUAACCGCAGAAAGACUGCAGACGAGCACUUGGGUUGCCAAACUAUGGCCCUUGGAGAACCCAGGUGUGACACACAGGAUGGAUAAUCUUUUGGCUCCGUUCCCGCGUGGUGGAGUGUGAUCAGUUCAGGCUGAUCAUCUCAGGCCGAUGUACAAAAAGGUGUUCAGCACCUAAAUACUAUUGUAUGUCUGGGCCUAGCUGGCUAUGACUGUGAAAAACAACUGAGUGAUAAUACUGCAUUGACUAAGACUCCAGGAGCUGCAGCUCACCAGCUUCAAUAAUUUAAUUAAAAAACAAAUAAACCAGUGUGUUUCCUUGAUUAAAGGCAAACUUGAACCAUAAAGAUAAGAAUUAAGAUACAUGUGGCUUUACAGUAUUCUUGCAUAUUAAACAUGAACUGGAAAAAGAGAUGUUGCAGACUUGUGAUGGUGCAGCAAAGGAUGAAACCCUGGUACUGUAAACAAAGAUCAUUGCUGCUUUCUGGCUUGCCUUUUUGCUUUGAAACGGGAGGUGACCUGAAGCAUAUCGUCAUGAUAUUCGUGGCAUUCCACCUGAAGGUACAAAGUGCUGCAAUCUUCAGCUGUUUUGCAUUCAGACACGGAGGUUUCAAGUCAUUUCCCUCUCCAGUGCAAGUGUUUGGAGCACCGGCUGAAGAUCAGGUGAUUGCUAGAAUGCUUACUCCUAUACAUGCUGGUUCUUUCUAUGUGCAGCACAAAAAUGAACUGUCUUGUGGAAAGAGAAAUGCCAGGGAUUGGUAG